GCACGGGUGGUGGAACUGGCAGACACAUACGCUUGAGGUGCGUACGCCCGAAAGGGUUUGGGGGUUCGAGUCCCCCCUCGUGCA
rnacentral:tRNA from 1 species